rnacentral:rRNA from 1 species
UACGUAGGGGGCAAGCGUUGUCCGGAAUUACUGGGCGUAAAGGGUGCGUAGGCGGUUGCCUAAGUCAGAUGUGAAAUCCCCGGGCUUAACCCGGGUGGUGCAUUUGAAACUGGGUGGCUAGAGUGCAGGAGAGGGAAGCGGAAUUCCUAGUGUAGCGGUGAAAUGCGUAGAUAUUAGGAGGAACACCAGUGGCGAAGGCGGCUUUCUGGACUGUAACUGACGCUGAGGCGCGAAAGCGUGGGGAGCAAACAGG